UUGCUGCAUAUCAAUAAGCGGAGGAAAAGAAACCAACCGGGAUUGCCUUAGUAACGGCGAGUGAAGCGGCAAAAGCUCAAAUUUGAAAUCUGGUACCUUCGGUGCCCGAGUUGUAAUUUGGAGAGGGCAACUUUGGGGCCGUUCCUUGUCUAUGUUCCUUGGAACAGGACGUCAUAGAGGGUGAGAAUCCCGUGUGGCGAGGAGUGCGGUUCUUUGUAAAGUGCCUUCGAAGAGUCGAGUUGUUUGGGAAUGCAGCUCUAAGUGGGUGGUAAAUUCCAUCUAAAGCUAAAUAUUGGCGAGAGACCGAUAGCGAACAAGUACAGUGAUGGAAAGAUGAAAAGAACUUUGAAAAGAGAGUGAAAAAGUACGUGAAAUUGUUGAAAGGGAAGGGCAUUUGAUCAGACAUGGUGUUUUGUGCCCUCUGCUCCUUGUGGGUAGGGGAAUCUCGCAUUUCACUGGGCCAGCAUCAGUUUUGGUGGCAGGAUAAAUCCAUAGGAAUGUAGCUUGCCUCGGUAAGUAUUAUAGCCUGUGGGAAUACUGCCAGCUGGGACUGAGGACUGCGACGUAAGUCAAGGAUGCUGGCAUAAUGGUUAUAUGCCGCCCGUCUUGAACCACGGACC
rnacentral:rRNA from 1 species